rnacentral:rRNA from 1 species
UACGAGGGGGGCAAGCGUUGUUCGGAAUUAUUGGGCGUAAAGGGUGCGUAGGCGGUCUGACAAGUCUGAUGUGAAAUCUAUGGGCUCAACCCGUAGUCUGCAUCGGAAACUGGCAAGCUAGAGUACGGUAGAGGGUGGUGGAAUUUCCUGUGUAGCGGUGAAAUGCGUAGAUAUAGGAAGGAACACCAGUGGCGAAGGCGACCACCUGGACUGAUACUGACACUGAGGUGCGAAAGCGUGGGGAGCAAACAGG